GAUGAAGAACGUAGUGAAAUGCGAUAAGUAAUGUGAAUUGCAGAAUUCAGUGAAUCAUCGAAUCUUUGAACGCACAUUGCGCCCGUCAGUAUUCUGGCGGGCAUGCCUGUUCGAGCGUCAUUACAACCCUCAGGCCCCCGGGCCUGGCGUUGGGGAUCGGCGGAAGCCCCCUGCGGGCACAACGCCGUCCCCCAAAUACAGUGGCGGUCCCGCCGCAGCUUCCAUUGCGUAGUAGCUAACACCUCGCAACUGGAGAGCGGCGCGGCCACGCCGUAAAACACCCAACUUCUGAAUGUUGACCUCGAAUCAGGUAGGAAUACCCGCUGAACUUAAGCAUAUCAAUAAGCGGAGGA
rnacentral:misc_RNA from 1 species